rfam:Schizosaccharomyces pombe complete mitochondrial genome
AGGAGAAUAGCUUAAUUGGUAGAGCACUUACCUUACAAGUAAGAUUAUAAGGGUUCAAAUCCCUUUUCUCCUA